rnacentral:rRNA from 1 species
AACGAACGCUGGCGGCAGGCUUAACACAUGCAAGUCGAACGGAUCCUUCGGGAUUAGUGGCAGACGGGUGAGUAACGCGUGGGAACGUACCCUUUGCUACGGAAUAACUCAGGGAAACUUGAGCUAAUACCGUAUGUGCCCUACGGGGGAAAGAUUUAUCGGCAAAGGAUCGGCCCGCGUUGGAUUAGCUAGUUGGUGGGGUAAUGGCCUACCAAGGCGACGAUCCAUAGCUGGUCUGAGAGGAUGAUCAGCCACACUGGGACUGAGACACGGCCCAGACUCCUACGGGAGGCAGCAGUGGGGAAUAUUGGACAAUGGGCGCAAGCCUGAUCCAGCCAUGCCGCGUGAGCGAUGAAGGUCUUAGGAUUGUAAAGCUCUUUCACCGGCGAAGAUAAUGACGGUAGCCGGAGAAGAAGCCCCGGCUAACUUCGUG